rnacentral:sRNA from 1 species
GAAAAAAAAAAACAAGCUAUUUACAUAAAACAAGGCACCAGUCGCCGAGUCUGAAAAGAGAGUCAUCAUCAUCGUUGUUUCUGGACGAAGCCGGUUUUUGGGAAAGUCGCCAAAGUCAGGGAGUGGUUCCAGACCCCAGACCCCAAUCCCUAAUCCCCAACAGAGCUCCAAUCCCGCUCCAAUGGUCGCGUGCGAGUGUAUGCAAAACUAUAAUCAGAGAGAACCUGAACAUAGGCCUAAAAGGACUUGGACUUGGACUUGUGGCAGUCUGAUAGAGAGAACUUAUGGACAGAAAGAGUCUACCAAGCCGGGAACGAGUUCAAGUGUCAAUCUUCUAA